UACCAGCUCCGCGAGUGGUCGGGACGAUUAUUGAGCCUAAAGCGCUCGUAGCCGGUCCGGUAAGUCCUGUGCUAAAUCCAACGGCUCAACCGUUGGGCCGCAUGGGAUACUGCCGGGCUAGGGAGCGGAAGAGGCCAGGGGUACUCCCGGGGUAGGGGCGAAAUCCUAUAAUCCCGGGAGGACGACCAGUGGCGAAGGCGCCUGGCUAGGACGCGUCCGACGGUGAGGGGCGAAAGCUGGGGGAGCGAACCGG
rnacentral:rRNA from 1 species